rnacentral:lncRNA from 1 species
GCACAGUAGAACUGUUUUAAAUGUAUUUAUUAACAAAAAAAUGCUGCCUUGUUAAAAUUUCUUUUAAAACACGGAGUAAUCUUAACUGUCCUUUUAUCCUUGGAGAUGCACCAAUAUAUUGUAAUUGCUUACAGUAUAAUUUGAACAAAGAUGUUAACCACUUUAGUUAGCCCAGUGUUCUUGCCCUACCCAUUAAAUGAAAUUGAGAAGUGUGUAAGCUAGUCCAAGACAGCUGCCUCCAGCAUUUUAAUGUCAGUGCAGUGUAGCAAUAAGCACAGGCUUUAUUUUAGUCUGCGCUAAAAUUCCUAAGGUCAGAGAUUUGUUAAAAUGCUCUGCAAUCAGGGCCCUAUGAAAUUUUUUUUUUUUUUUUUUUCCAAUUAUGUGUUUUCUGCGUGAUUUUGAUGUUUAUGACUUGUGGCAGAAAAGUUCAUUUGUUUUUUCUUAAAUGUUUUAAUUGUUAUUAUUAAUAUUUAUUAUUACUCUGAGCACAUUUUAAUAUACAAAAACAAUAUUUCUAUCAAUUUCAAGUUAAAACAAAUGUAUUUUAGCAAGUUGAAGUGAAAGCCUUUUGAGUUUCUUUGAGUAAUAUGACUAACUUGUUUCCAGAUUAAACUGUGAGAUAUCAGUGAUGUGAACUCUCAGGGCUCUAGGUACUGAACCAGAUCCACUAUCGUAGUUUGUUUUCAUGACUUCCACAAGUUUGCAGGGUAGCUCUGAACAUGAUCUGUGUCAUGAUACAUGUCCAUCACAAUGUGCCACAAGACCCAUAUUACAUUGGAUUGUUGUGCUGUGGUUAGCCUUUAGAUGGCAGCGCUGGCUUAAUAUGAAAAUUGCAGACUGAAGAGAAAAAGUAUGCUAAAAUUGAAAGGCUCAUCAAUAUAAGACGAGUGUAUGUGUGAUUCUCUUUCAGAACUAUGUGGAUUGUGGAGUCCAGACUUUGCUAACCCUUCUGUAGCCUUCAGCACUAGCACAGACUCCUUUUCUUGGGUAGAAUCCUAUAGAAGCAGAGGAGAACAACUUGAUGGAGAUCAAGCAAUGAACUUCAUUGUGCUUUCAAACACCUUUGCAGAUAGGGUCAGCCUGGGUGUGAUGUGACGCUGUAUAUUGAGGGAAAGACAUUUGUGAUCAUACUGUAACCUAAUUCCUCGCACAUCCACACACUGAAACAUUUGACAAGCUUUGAUCGCUUUGGGUUAUUCCACCCCUUUUUUUUGUAUUGUCUGUGUUUUCCCGCUCAGAGAUGUGUAUAAGAGACAGAUGCAUACCAGGUACAGUCACACAUUUGCGUUCAUGCACACUUUCUUUUCUGGAUGUAUUAGUUUUUAAAAAACUGUCAAGAGAAAUUUGACCUGUGUGUGUUUUGUGUAUAGUAUCCCCUGCCACAGUGGUGUGGAGAGCAGAGGACGAGGCUUGUCAAUCAGGUCAGCUCCACUCCCCUUUUUCUCGGUUGGUAAAUGAGGGAUUGAACGCAAGAGGCAUAGUGUUCUUGCCUUGCCCAUUAAAUUAAAUUGAGAAGUGUGUGUGUAAGCUAGUCCAAGACAGCUGCCUCUAGCAUAUUGAUAAUGUCAGUGCAGUGUAGCAGUAAGCACGGGUUUUACUUGGUCUGUGCUAAAGAUCAUUAUGUCUGAGAUUUGCUAAAAUGCUCUGCAAUUAAGCCCUUAUGUAAGUUUUUUUUUUUUUUAAACCAAUUUGUGUUUUCUGUUUGAUUUUUCAUGCUUAUGGUUUGUGGACAAGGGUAAAAAAAUUAGUUUUUUUACUUAAAUUGUAUUUAAUUGUAUUAGUUAUUUCACCCCUUUUUUUUGUAUUGUCUGUGUUUUUCUUUCUUUGUCAUGGCCAACUAACAUUUAAAGACACUUUUAAGCUCACAAAUACAUAUUUAUAUUUUACGUUUGCUUAUUUUAAAGUUUGACUCACUGUUGGUGAUGCACUGUAUGCAUAUAGGAAACUGUUCUGACUGUUCAGUCUGUUGUUUUAAACCAAUGUUUGUUUGUUUGUUUACUUAGGCUGGCGAGUGUUCACUGUUAAGUUGGUUUUAUUUUGGGGUUUUCACAUUCAGGGCACAUGUUUGGUUAUUGAGCACCAGGGUACAGUGGCUUCCCUCACCCUUUUUUACGCUAAAUCUACUUUCAUCGGUCACUAUCACUGUACUUCCAUUACUUCAUUAAUGCUUAUUUUUCUUUGUUGGUGCAGUUAAGAGGUGUAAAUAAGAUCAUUGCAUUAAUUCUAAAAUGACAAUAAAAUUUUACUGAGCCCUGUAAGUCACAGCAGGUCACAGGAUGCUUGACUUGUUUAAAAUUAUAGCGAUGAUGGAAUAUUGAUAUCACUGUGAACACAGUCAUGCUGCAUUUUUCUAUUUUUCCCAGCACUUUUUCACACCAGUUCAUUGAGUUUUGUUUUAUAGGUUUGCAAAGUUAUGGGUAUUGUUGUACUGAACACAAAGCACUCUCAUUUUAUCCAGUGUUGCAACACUGUUCUUAGAGGUUUGUUUCUUUGUGGGGGGGGGGCUUUGGUUUAUUAGCUGUAGCUUAUUCAUCAGAUACUUUUAAAAACCAGCUCUGACUGACUUGUAUUGAAAUUUCUCAGUUAUAUUUACUCAUUUCCCAUGGCUUCAUGGGAGUUGUGGUCUGUAUUGUACCAUAGUCUGAGAGCUUCUAAUCACUGUACUCCUGGUUUGGAUUUUGAAGUUGGCAUUGUAUGGUUUUGCUGUUUUUGUUAUUAAUAAAAAAUAAAGUUGAAUUAACUUACUCUUGCUUUAAGGUAGCCUUUUUAUUGUUAAAUUUUUUUUUUUGUUUAAUUUGACUAGUUUGUGAGUUCCCUUUUUUUUUUUUUUUUUGUUAUUGGAACUCAGUGAAACUUAAAGGAUGAAUUCAAAGUAUGAAACUUAUGGAUUGGUCAUGGCUGAUUCACAUUAAAUAUGAAUUGAAUACCACUUCUCACACCCAUAAAUGUUUUAACAUCGAUCACUCUAUAAGUGUUAACAAUAAGAGACAACUACUCUAUGCUUCGAUCUGACAACUGGACUGUUUGACAUGUAAUCAUUUUAAUAUCCCACUCUUUAAAACUGAACUGAAUUAAAAUUUAUAUUUCUGGAUGCAGAAUAAUAGUAAUUUUAUCUCUGCAUUUCAUAACACUGUAAUAUUGU